rnacentral:rRNA from 1 species
GAUGAACGCUGGCGGCGUGCCUAAUACAUGCAAGUCGAGCGAACGGACGAGAAGCUUGCUUCUCUGAUGUUAGCGGCGGACGGGUGAGUAACACGUGGAUAACCUACCUAUAAGACUGGGAUAACUUCGGGAAACCGGAGCUAAUACCGGAUGAUAUUUUGAACCGCAUGGUUCAAAAGUGAAAGACGGUCUUGCUGUCACUUAUAGAUGGAUCCGCGCUGCAUUAGCUAGUUGGUAAGGUAACGGCUUACCAAGGCAACGAUGCGUAGCCGACCUGAGAGGGUGAUCGGCCACACUGGAACUGAGACACGGUCCAGACUCCUACGGGAGGCAGCAGUAGGGAAUCUUCCGCAAAGGGCGAAAGCCUGACGGAGCAACGCCGCGUGAGUGAUGAAGGUCUUCGGAUCGUAAAACUCUGUUAUUAGGGAAGAACAAAUGUGUAAGUAACUGUGCACAUCUUGACGGUACCUAAUCAGAAAGCCACGGCUAACUACGUG